GCCCCCGUAGCUCAAAGGAUAGAGCGUUUGGUUGCGGACCAAAAGGUUGCAGGUUCGAGUCCUGCCGGGGGUGCCA
rnacentral:tRNA from 1 species